UAAAAUGCGCAAAACUUAUUUAGACUAUGAAUCAUAUUGAAUCAACUAUUCAAUCUUUUAAAUUUUUUAUUUUACUAUUCAAACUUUCAAUUUGUUUGAUUUAAGUCAGUUUACGCUAGAUUAACUUCAAAAUUUCAGCUUACUGUUUUCAUUAAUAAAGUUAUAGUUGCAAGAACUAAAUGAAAUAUAUUAAUUAAAUCUAUAACGAUAAACGAUGUAUUCAAAUUUUGAAGUUGAUAUACUGUUUAUUGAUUCAAAUCAAACAAAUUGAAAAAUUGAAUGGUAAAAUCACAAUUUUAAAUAUUAGGUAGUUGAUUCAAAAUAGUCAAAAGUUUAGAUAAGUUAUGUAUGUUUUUAUCAUAAAAAAAAAUUAUAAGUUUUUUUGUUAAUGUUGGUUAGAAAUGUUUCUGUUUUUGU
rnacentral:lncRNA from 1 species